AAGUAAGAACUUAAAGCUGAGUCUGGCUUAAAACAGAAUUCCUGAAGUUCUCUUCAUUAAGUGUGCAAACGUGACAGACACAUUAACCACCUCAAUUCAUGAAUAUCUGGGGGUUUUGUCCCAUGGUUUGACAAAUGUGUUUCUAUUUUCUCUUCUAGCACAGAAGAGAAGAAAAUUCUAAAACUGUAAUAUUUGAAAUGCUUUCUUAGAGAUCAAGUACAACUGGCAGGUCCAUUUGCGAUGCACUAGGCAAUUGAUAGCACCAUUUUAUGAUGCUUGGUCCACACUAGUACAGACGAUUUAUCCCAGUUAUUGAUGAUAUAAAUGUACGCAGCUGAUAAAACACAUAUUGGAAAGAAUAGCAGUCAAUAGGUCUGUUGAGUAUCAGCUUUAAAAAAACCUUUAGAAAAAGUCAUGUUUAUAUUAUUUAAUGUUAAGUCCUUUCUGGUUCUGACAUUAUGCCCUCCCCCCAUCAUAAAAGGCAAGAUUUUUUUUAAUGAAAAACUGAUAUUGUCUAUUGACGCACAACCAAUAGUCACUCAAUAAGUAGGAACUGCCAGUUAAAGCAUAACCAUUCUGAACAACCUUAACAUCCACUGUCAAGGAAAUAUAAUAUGUGAGCAAGGCAGGCAUGGAAAAGAAGUUUCAUUAAUUACUGGACUGUAAAUAUUUACUGAGGAAAGGAACAGAUUUACCUCAUGGAGAAACCAGUCCAGUAAAAACCAUUUCACUCAAACACUACUUCAUCUUGUUUAUAAAUAAAAUUUUAACUAUUAAUGACUUUGACAAUAUGAUUGAAAAUUUAAAGUAUAUAUAAAACUGUGCACCAGUAAUCAACAUAUAUUUUCACCAUUUAAUUUUUUUAAGACAAUGGCUUUGACAGUUUUUUUGUAAUAAUUACAGUUACCUUUUUGAACCACCACGAUGUGUAGAAUUGUGUUCUAGAGGUGUAUUGAUACUCAGUUUUAACAGACUUCAGACAUUUAAUUCAAUACAAGCUCACAAC